CUACGGGGGGCUGCAGCUGCGAAACUUUCGCAAUUCACGCAAGUGUGACGAAGGGACUCAGAGUGCUUUCACUUCGGUGGAAGCUUUUACCAAGUCUAGAUCGCUUGGAGAAUAAGUGGUGGGUAAGACGGGUGCCAGCCGCCGCGGUAAUACCCGCGCCACGAGUGGUGAUCGUUUUUAUUGGGUUUAGAGCGUUCGUAGCCGGUUUGGUAAGUUCUUAAUGAAAUCUGGCAGCUAACUGUCAGGCUUGUUAGGGAUACUACCAGACUUGAGACCGGGAGAGGCUAAGGGUAUUAUCGGAGUAGGGGUAAAAUCCUGUAAUUCCGAUAAGACCACCUGUGGCGAAGGCGCUUAGCUAGAACGGAUCUGACGGUGAGGGACGAAAGCCAGGGGAGCGAAGGGGAUUAGAUACCCGCGUAGUC
rnacentral:rRNA from 1 species